GACGUAGGGUGCGAGCGUUGUCCGGAUUUAUUGGGCGUAAAGAGCUCGUAGGCGGCUUGUUGCGUCGACUGUGAAAACCCGCGGCUUAACCGCGGGCUUGCAGUUGAUACGGGCAGGCUAGAGUUCGGUAGGGGAGACUGGAAUUCCUGGUGUAGCGGUGAAAUGCGCAGAUAUCGGGAAGAACACCCGUGGCGAAGGCGGCUCUCUGGGGACGGUACUGACGCUGAGACGCGAAAGCGUGGGGAGCGAACAGG
rnacentral:rRNA from 1 species